rnacentral:rRNA from 1 species
AUUGAACGCUGGCGGCAGGCUUAACACAUGCAAGUCGAGCGAGCGGCGGACGGGUGAGUAAUGUCUGGGAAACUGCCUGGUGGAGGGGGAUAACUACUGGAAACGGUAGCUAAUACCGCAUUCCAUCGGAUGUGCCGAGAUGGGAUUAGCUAGGUGGUGGGGUAAUGGCUCACCAAGGCGACGAUCCCUAGCUGGUCUGAGAGGAUGACCAGCCACACUGGAACGGAGACACGGUCCAGACUCCUACGGGAGGCAGCAGUGGGGAAUAUUGGACAAUGGGCGAAAGCCUGAUCCAGCCAUGCCGCGUGUGUGAAGAAGGCCUUCGGGUUGUAAAGCACUUUCAGCGGGGAGGCGUUACUCGCAGAAGAAGCACCGGCUAACUCCGUGCCAGCAGCCGCGGUAAUAC